rnacentral:rRNA from 1 species
GACGAACGCUGGCGGCGUGCCUAAUACAUGCAAGUCGAACGCCCCUUUUCCCACCGGAGCUUGCUCCAUCGGGAAAAGAGGAGUGGCGAACGGGUGAGUAACACGUGGGUAACCUGCCCAUCAGAAGGGGAUAACACUUGGAAACAGGUGCUAAUACCGUAUAACAAUCGAAACCGCAUGGUUUCGUUUUGAAAGGCGCUUUACGGUGCCGCUGAUGGAUGGACCCGCGGUGCAUUAGCUAGUUGGUGAGGUAACGGCUCACCAAGGCCACGAUGCAUAGCCGACCUGAGAGGGUGAUCGGCCACAUUGGGACUGAGACACGGCCCAAACUCCUACGGGAGGCAGCAGUAGGGAAUCUUCGGCAAUGGACGAAAGUCUGACCGAGCAACGCCGCGUGAGUGAAGAAGGUUUUCGGAUCGUAAAACUCUGUUGUUAGAGAAGAACAAGGGUGAGAGUAACUGUUCACCCCUUGACGGUAUCUAACCAGAAAGCCACGGCUAACUACGUGCCAGCCGCCGCGGUAA